rnacentral:rRNA from 1 species
AGAGUUUGAUCAUGGCUCAGAUUGAACGCUGGCGGAAUGCUUUACACAUGCAAGUCGAACGGCAGCGCGGGGCAACCUGGUGGCGAGUGGCGAACGGGUGAGUAAUACAUCGGAACGUGCCCAAUCGUGGGGGAUAACGUAGCGAAAGUUACGCUAAUACCGCAUACGAUCUACGGAUGAAAGCGGGGGAUCGCAAGACCUCGCGCGAGUGGAGCGGCCGAUGUCAGAUUAGGUAGUUGGUGGGGUAAAGGCUCACCAAGCCAACGAUCUGUAGCUGGUCUGAGAGGACGACCAGCCACACUGGAACUGAGACACGGUCCAGACUCCUACGGGAGGCAGCAGUGGGGAAUUUUGGACAAUGGGCGCAAGCCUGAUCCAGCCAUUCCGCGUGCAGGAUGAAGGCCUUCGGGUUGUAACCUGCUUUUGUACGGAACGAAACGGCGAGCUCUAAUACAGUUUGCUAAUGACGGUACCGUAAGAAUAAGCACCGGCUAACUACGUG